GGAUGUUAGCGGCGGACGGGUGAGUAACACGUGGGUAACCUGCCUGUAAGACUGGGAUAACUCCGGGAAACCGGAGCUAAUACCGGAUAGUUCCUUGAACCGCAUGGUUCAAGGAUGAAAGACGGUUUCGGCUGUCACUUACAGAUGGACCCGCGGCGCAUUAGCUAGUUGGUGAGGUAACGGCUCACCAAGGCGACGAUGCGUAGCCGACCUGAGAGGGUGAUCGGCCACACUGGGACUGAGACACGGCCCAGACUCCUACGGGAGGCAGCAGUAGGGAAUCUUCCGCAAUGGACGAAAGUCUGACGGAGCAACGCCGCGUGAGUGAUGAAGGUUUUCGGAUCGUAAAGCUCUGUUGUUAGGGAAGAACAAGUGCAAGAGUAACUGCUUGCACCUUGACGGUACCUAACCAGAAAGCCACGGCUAACUACGUGCCAGCAGCCGCGGUAAUACGUAGGUGGCA
rnacentral:rRNA from 1 species